rnacentral:lncRNA from 1 species
CUCCUCAUCAGGGAUACCCAUGUCGAAGGAAGGUGACCCUCCGUGUUAGGGGGCACCUAGAUGAUGGUUGAUGUCUAUAGGGGUAACGAGCUCGCGUGUUUGAGUAUGCCUAAUUUCGUGGAGCGUCUCAAAGAGCUUCUCAUACUGCUCCUGGAGGACCUCAUUCUUUAUUGUUAUCUUGUUGUUCUGAGCUUCUAGCUCAUCGACUUUAGCUUGAAGA